rfam:Gossypium raimondii Chr10_contig_1375, whole genome shotgun sequence.
GUGAUUUAUGGAUGAACUGGUUCCUGAUACCUAAUAGCCAUUUGAAUUACUUAGUCUGUUGCCUCUCUUGGUGACUUAUUGAUCAUUGGGAUGGAACACGC